GUGGGAACGUGCACCCGGAGCUUGGGGUGCAGAUCCCGGUGGGUGCCCUCCUCCCCCACCCCCAGCCGGUGCUCAGGUGGCCCAGGGGCCGCACAGAUGAGGCGUGGUCCAGGCAUUGUUGCACAUGUACUGAGGGUGUUUUUAAGUGAAUUGCUUAGUAGGCUUCUAGGAAGAGUCGGAUUUAUAGCAUUUUCAACCAAAAUAAUGCUGAGUGCCUAGGCUUCCCGAGUUAGCUCUGGGGGUGGCCCCUGAGCCCCUGUGAGUGCACCUGACCGGGUGCGGAGGUCCUGGGCAGCCUCUGCCUGAGCUGGCCCCUCCCAGGGAUCUGAGAUCCGUGAGGUGUGUCCCGAGGGCUUCAGUCCUGGGGCAGGGGCAUAAACAGAACCAGUUGCUAUGGAGGUGGAGGAUUCACGUGGGGGCCCUUCGGCUUGGUCUGCUUGGCCACAGAACAGCCCCCGGCCCCCAUGCAGCCCCUGGGCUGGCCCUCGGUGGUCUCUGUCCAAGGGAGAGCCUCUGGGUGUUUAGGAGGCUGCCCGGGUGGGCUGGUCAGGGCAGCUGCCAAAGGUGGAGCCCAGAGCCUGUCUGGAAGGGCUGUCCAUGACUGUCCCCAGACCUGGCCUUGGACUCAAGGAAGACCAGGCUGAGGCCCCUCCAGGCCAGGGCCCUGGGGCAGACAUCUCAGGGAGCAGCCAGCCCAGGGCUCCUGCCGUCUCCAGCAGGGUAUGUCCCAGGAGGACCCUGAGGGCCAGAGGCCCCUGGAUGCUCCUCCUGAUUCUGUCGGCAGCUGAAGGCCCGUCUGAGGCCCCGCAAUGCGAGGGUCCCGUGUCCCACUUCACUGCUCCGAAGGAAACUGGCUGGCUGUCCGUCCAGCGAGCGGCCCAGACCCCACCUCUGUGCCGUUGUCACCAGGGCCCUGUCCUGGCUGCCCCCACCCAUGUCAAGCUACUGAGGCUGUGUCUUGUUUGUUUUCUCUGUUACGUUUUUGUUUGCUGUUUGCUGUUGUCACAGUCAGCUGGUUUCGGCGUGAUGUUGACCUUUUGAUGUACAUACUCCGUUUUAAACUCAUUUCCACUCCAGUUGAGUUCUGCAGCGUGCAGCGGUAUGACCUUACGGGGUUCAGGAGGGCCCCGUAGCCCCCACCCCACCAGCUCAGAACCUGUCGCUAAUACAGCUGCCUGUGACCCUGGGACCCGCAACCUUCCAGCUGCUUCCCUUUGUCAAAGUCAUGAGUGGGUCUGCCUUGGCAGCCCUCGCUGAACAGAACUUCCAUUGGUUUGUGGGUUCAUUUCCUUUCUUUUUAAGAACAAGGUUGGGACCUUUUCUGCUCCUGCCCUUCCGCUAUUGAGGCAUUGGGAGAGGAAGUUAAUUUCAGAGCCAUACAAAAAUAAGCCACAACCAGCUUCAGAAUUAAUUCCCAAUCCCCCAUUCCAGCAGGGCUGGGAGCCCAUUCCCAGUGCUUCCCAAGGCCCUCGGGGACGUCUGCCGCCAACCCAGCUGCUUCUGGCAGGGGUUCCAAGCCCCAGCAUGGGGAAGGGCCCUGGAGAAGCCCCCAUCCGCACGGGAACCACACUGCAGUGGGCCGGGCAGGUCGUCAGCACUGCCCCCGGCUCCUCCGGGUCCUGCUGGCUCCUCCGGGGCAGGGUUCCCUGGACCUCCCAGUUCUGCACUUGGGGCCAGCCAGUCCUCAGAGAGGAAGACCUUCUCAACCACAUACAGAACACAGGUUUUCAUGGCUGCCUUUGGUUUGGUUUUCUGAGAAGAUAGGAUUGGACUGGAUUUUGCAGAGGGCGAGAACUUCUCUGUGCCUGCUCAGAGGCGCCCUGGGGAAGGGCCGUGUUUGAGUUUUGCUUUGUAUGUUGUUUUGCAAGUAUCUGCCUGGUACUUUGAUUUAAA
rnacentral:lncRNA from 1 species